rnacentral:lncRNA from 10 species
GUGGUAGUUAAGCAGCAUAGAAAAUGAAUACAGUAGGCCAGGAGUGGUGGCUCACGCCUGUAAUCCCAGCACUUUUUCCAGUUACUUUCCAAGUGCAUCAUGCUGAUCCACACUUGGCCCCAAGAGGUAGGUUUUAUUAUUUUCAUUUUUGCAAUAAAGAAAUGGCGUCUCAGGGAGGGCAUGUCCAGUCAAGUAACUGAUAAGUUGAGAUCUCGAUUCAAGUACUGAUCUGACUGCAAAACUCACAUCCUUUCCUCCACUAUACUGUCUCUCUCAGCAUCUUCCAUGAAGGGAUUCAGCUGCUGGCAUUCUCAACAACUGGCACAGCUGCAGGAAAUCACAAGACCUCCACCAUUAUAGGGCUAGAGGCUGAUUAUAGUUAGCUGUGCCUUGGGCAUGCUGCAGGGUGUGUUAAGCUUCAGGUGCGGAGGCUAGGGAGGCAGGUAAGGCUCAGGCUUGAGGGCAGAGGCUGUGUCAACAGAGAUUAAUCACCCGAAGGGAUACCAUUUGAGUUCUGGGAGAGCUGCCUGCCGACUUCACAAAGACGUAUUCCUCUCAUUAAUGACUGUUAGUGUAGCAUCAUGCAAUGCUCCUGAGAAACUGCAGAAAUAGUAAUGACCAUGUGAUGGCCAAGGCUGAUUGGAAGAUGCUCCUGGGGAGAGAUGAAGUUUGGAUUUACAGCAUCAGCAUGAAGGAGUUGCAAGCAUUGGUGUUGUAAACCGCACUGGCACCUGACACUAAAUGUGGGAAAGGG